rnacentral:misc_RNA from 1 species
AUAAAAUAUUCUCGCAAUAUCACACCUUUCUUCAAUCUUCUUGCUUAUCGGCCGAUUUCUCAAUAUCUCUCUUCACUGUUACAGGGUUUUUGAUUCGUUAAAGUAAUACUAUCUAACUAGUGGUGAAGUUCAAUGGGGAGAAAGAAGGCAACAGAAGAGAAUUCUGAACCUCCCAAGCAGGGCGGCGGUGGAGGAGGGAAGACUAAGAAGAAGAAUAGGGUGAUUGAUGACGAUGAGUACUCUGUCCAGACUGAAGAACCUACACUUCAGGAAGAUACAGUACUUGAUGAUGAUGAGAGAAAGAAGCCAGCCAAGCAGGUUGGUGGUGGUGGAGUCAAGUCAAGGAAGAAGAAUGUGGUAAUUGAUGAUGAUGAAUACACUAUUGCGACAGAGGAACCUGUUAUUCUGGAAGAAAAAGUAAUACUUGGUGGACAGAAAAAAGCUAAAAAGGGGAAGAAGGGUGCCUCUAAUUAUGGAGGGUAUUUAACAAGGGAUAGUGAUCAAGAGGAUGAAGGCAUUGCCCCCUUCACUGGGAAACUGAACAAGUCAAAGCAGGGAAAAACCAGUGCUGGUGUGUUUUCUACAGCUUUUGAUACAAUUGGUGAUGAAGAGUCCGAGGAAGAUGAAGAACCAGUCCUUGCUGGUAUGGGGAAGACUAGUGGCAAUUCAUUUAGUGUGGCUCUUCUUGACGAAGAAGAGGAGGCAGAUACUUCUGUUUCUAAGUUUGACACAGAAACAGUUGAAGAGGAUGAUGCGCCAGAACUUAUAUUUGCAGGUAAAAAG